CCCAGGAAGGGAGCUUAUUCUGCUUCUGGGCUGCUUGGGUGCUGGUUCUCUGCUGCUCCUUUAGCAGUUGGCAGCUUUUGAGCUGUUUAAGCUACAUGGGCAGAUGUGUUUGGAGAAGUGGAGAUGUCUGCUUGAGGUAGAACCUUCAGGAGCGGAGAAGCUUCAAUAGCAGCUGUAGUUGAAAGCGUCACCAGCGCUGAGGCUUUCUGACCGCGCCAGCGGCACGACACGCCGACCGGACCGCCCUGGAGCUCAGCAGGAGGCGCUGAAGAGGAACCCGGUGACGCGGGAAGACGGCCCUUGGCGCACGUGGCUUUUUCCUCUGCCGAAGAUGGGUUCGGUCCCUCGGCCCUCUGAAAGCUAAGUGGAGGCGCAUGGGC